rnacentral:rRNA from 1 species
GAUGAACGCUGGCGGCGUGCCUAAUACAUGCAAGUCGAGCGAACGGACGAGAAUCUUGCUUUUCUGAUGUUAGCGGCGGACGGGUGACUAACACGUGGAUCACCUAUCUAUAAGCCUCGGCUAACUUCUGGAACUCGGAGACAGUAUCGGAUAAUAUUUUGAACCGCAUGGUUCUUCAUUUAAUGACGGUCUUGCUUUCAGUUAUAGAUGAUUCGGCGCUGGAUUAUCUGGUUGGUAAUGUAAGGGCUUACUACGACAACGAUGCAUAGGCGCCGUGAGAGGGUGAUGGGCGACAGUGGAACUGAGACACGGUCAAGACUCAGACGCGAGGCAGCAGCAGGGGUUCGGCCGCAAUGGGCGAAGGCCUGACCGUGAAGCGGCGCGUGAGUGAGGAAGAUCUUCGGAUUGUAAAAGUCUGUUAUUAGGGAAGAAGAGAUGUGUAAGUAACUGGGCGCAUCGUGACGGUAGCUAAACAGAAAGCCCCGGCUAACUACGUG